rnacentral:rRNA from 1 species
UACGUAGGUGACCAGCGUUGUCCGGAUUUACUGGGCGUAAAGCGCGCGCAGGCGGUCGUUCAAGUCGAGUGUGAAAGCCCCCGGCUCAACUGGGGAGGGUCAUUCGAUACUGAUCGACUCGAAGGCAGGAGAGGGUAGUGGAAUUCCCGGUGUAGUGGUGAAAUGCGUAGAUAUCGGGAGGAACACCAGUGGCGAAGGCGACUACCUGGCCUGUUCUUGACGCUGAGGCGCGAAAGCUAGGGGAGCAAACGGG